rnacentral:lncRNA from 1 species
AAGCAAAGUUGUAGGGUAUUUUAUGGGGAUCAUUUCUUCUUUUUACCCCAAAUACUAAAACACUUUGGAAAAGCUUCAAAAUUCACAUUUAAGCUCUUUUGAGGAAAAAAAAGAAAUUCAAAAAAAAUGUUGACAAGGAAGCAAGCGCUGCUGGGUCGGCCGCCUCCCUUUCGGCCCAAUCCUACUCCUCCCCGCGCGCGGACGCGCCCGCCUCUCCCCCGCCGACGGCCACCACGUGGCAGCCGUACACCGGUGACGAGGGUCCACGGCCGCUCCGACCGCGCCUUCUGGUCGGGACGCUCCCAGGCCACCCUCCAUUCUGUCCCCCUCCUCUCUCUCUCUUCUUCCCCAC